UACGUAGGGACCAAGCGUUGUUCGGAUUUACUGGGCGGAAAGGGCGCGUAGGCGGCAAUUCAAGUCAUCUGUGAAAUCUCCGGGCUUAACUCGGAACGGUCAGAUGAUACUGCUUUGCUAGAGUGCGGAAGGGGCAAUCGGAAUUCUUGGUGUAGCGGUGAAAUGCGUAGAUAUCAAGAGGAACACCUGAGGUGAAGACGGGUUGCUGGGCCGACACUGACGCUGAUAGCGCGAAAGCCAGGGGAGCAAACGGG
rnacentral:rRNA from 1 species